UACGAAGGGGGCUAGCGUUGUUCGGAUUUACUGGGCGUAAAGCGCACGUAGGCGGAUCGAUCAGUCAGGGGUGAAAUCCCAGAGCUCAACUCUGGAACUGCCUUUGAUACUGUCGAUCUGGAGUAUGGAAGAGGUGGGUGGAAUUCCUAGUGUAGAGGUGAAAUUCGUAGAUAUUAGGAAGAACACCGGUGGCGAAGGCGGCCCACUGGUCCGGUACUGACGCUGAGGUGCGAAAGCGUGGGGAGCAAACAGG
rnacentral:rRNA from 1 species